AAAAAGGUCAAAGGACCUUGGAUAAAAAAUUUCAUAAAUUUUGGACCCUUAAAAAUAUUUUUAAACAAUUAAAAACAAAUGAAAAAUCAAUUAAUUCAUGAAAAAUAUUAAUAAUGAUCCAAAAAAUAAUUUAAAUCAGAAUAUGAAAGAGAAAAAUAUUUGAAAAUUUUUGGUGAAAGUCCCAUAUUUUUUGGAUCAAUAUUGAAUUUAAUAUGAAUUAUUGAAGAAAAUAAAAUAAAAAGGAAAAUCA
rnacentral:lncRNA from 1 species